GAGCCAGGUUCCUCCUUUCCACUAUUUAUAUGUGGUAAACUUAGAGAUUCUAGGAAAGUGUAUGUUGGAUCAAAUCGAGUCAGAGUUGACUGUUCAUCCAUAUUAGGUCAAUCCAAAUUGGUAAAUGUCGACACUUUUCUACAUUUGGUUGAUUAGAGUCCAAUUUAAUAUCUUGAAUUCUCUCGACUUAACUUACAUGAAUAUGAGGUCUAAAUAUAUUUAAGAUUUAAUUUCUAUUAAUUGAAAUCUCAAAAUUUUUACUCAAGAGUGCAUACCUUAUA
rnacentral:lncRNA from 1 species